rnacentral:lncRNA from 1 species
CUAGAACACGCGGAUCUAUCGGUGUCUAGGUCGGGUCAUCGGUUUUGGUCCAAUACGGCACCAUUUUGAAGCCACUGAUCUGGCUCUAAACGGUGCCGUUUUGAAUGAUAUGAAAGUGGCUAAAAAAAACUAAAAUCCCUAAUACUUGACCACCUCCCUAAAACUAUCAGAAGAAAAGAUAAAGAAAAAAACAAAACACUCCCCAUUUUCUCUUGCGCCGCUCUCCAGCCCUAAAUCCCCAUUCACCCUUCAACUGUGACGAAGCGAUGAGGAUUCGACGGCACCAAUAACGUAAAUCUCUCGUCCUCUCCGCCGC